GGCGCCGUAGCCAAGUGGUAAGGCAGCGGAUUGCAAAUCCGUUAUUCCCCGGUUCGAAUCCGGGCGGCGCCUC
rnacentral:tRNA from 1 species